rnacentral:rRNA from 1 species
CCUACGGGAGGCAGCAGUGGGGAAUAUUGCACAAUGGGGGAAACCCUGAUGCAGCGACGCCGCGUGAGUGAAGAAGUAAUUCGUUGUGUAAAGCUCUAUCAGCAGGGAAGAAAAUGACGGUACCUGAGUAAGAAGCCCCGGCUAACUACGUGCCAGCAGCCGCGGUAAUACGUAGGGGGCAAGCGUUAUCCGGAUUUAUUGGGUGUAAAGGGUGCGCAGGCGGGAGGUCACGUCAGCGGUAAAAUGUCGGGGCUAAACCCCGGACGGCCGUUGAAACUGGUUUGCUUGGGUUGGAGAGGAGUAUGCGGAAUUCGUGGUGUAGCGGUGAAAUGCGUAGAUAGCACGAAGAACACCGGUUGCGAAGGCAGCAUGCCGGCUCCCUACUGACGCUGAGGCACGAAAGCGUGGGGAGCGAACAGGAUUAGAUACCCCAGUAGUC